rnacentral:rRNA from 1 species
UGAGGAAUUUUGCGCAAUGGGGGGAACCCUGACGCAGCAACGCCGCGUGGGUGAUGAAGGCCUUCGGGUCGUAAAGCCCUGUCGGGCGGGAAGAACGUCCCUUCGGGGAAUGACGGUACCGCCAGAGGAAGCACCGGCUACCUCCGUGCCAGCAGCCGCGGUAAUACGGAGGGUGCAAGCGUUAUGCGGAAUUACGGGGCGUAAAGGGCGUGCAGGCGGGAGAGCAAGUCUGAUGUGAAAGCCCGGGGCUUAACCCCGGAAGGGCAUUGGAAACUGCGUUUCUUGAGUUCGGGAGAGGAAGGGAGAAUUCCCGGUGUAGAGGUGAAAUUCGUAGAGAUCGGGAGGAACAUCAGUGGCGAAGGCGCCCUUCUGGACAGCAACUGACGCUGAGACGCGAAAGCGUGGGGAGCAAACA